rnacentral:rRNA from 1 species
UUGACGGGGACCCGCACAAGCGGUGGAUGAUGUGGAUUAAUUCGAUGCAACGCGAAAAACCUUACCUACCCUUGACAUGUUCGGAAUUCCGCAGAGAUGUGGAAGUGCUCGAAAGAGAACCGGAACACAGGUGCUGCAUGGCUGUCGUCAGCUCGUGUCGUGAGAUGUUGGGUUAAGUCCCGCAACGAGCGCAACCCUUGUCAUUAGUUGCUACGAAAGGGCACUCUAAUGAAACUGCCGGUGACAAACCGGAGGAAGGUGGGGAUGACGUCAAGUCCUCAUGGCCCUUAUGGGUAGGGCUUCACACGUCAUACAAUGGUCGGUACAGAGGGCUGCCAACCCGUAAGGGGGAGCCAAUCCUUUAAAACCGAUCGUAGUCCGGAUUGAGGUCUGCAACUCGACCUCAUGAAGUCGGAAUCGCUAGUAAUCGCGGAUCAGCAUGUCGCGGUGAAUACGUUCCCGGGUCUU